UACGGAGGGAGCUAGCGUUGUUCGGAAUUACUGGGCGUAAAGCGCGCGUAGGCGGCAUAGUAAGUCAGGGGUGAAAUCCCGGGGCUCAACCCCGGAACUGCCUUUGAAACUGCUGAGCUAGAAUCCUGGAGAGGCGAGUGGAAUUCCGAGUGUAGAGGUGAAAUUCGUAGAUAUUCGGAAGAACACCAGUGGCGAAGGCGACUCGCUGGACAGGUAUUGACGCUGAGGUGCGAAAGCGUGGGGAGCAAACAGG
rnacentral:misc_RNA from 1 species